rnacentral:rRNA from 1 species
GACGUAGGGCGCGAGCGUUGUCCGGAAUUAUUGGGCGUAAAGAGCUCGUAGGCGGUUUGUCGCGUCUGCUGUGAAAACUCGAGGCUCAACCUCGGGCUUGCAGUGGGUACGGGCAGACUAGAGUGCGGUAGGGGUGACUGGAAUUCCUGGUGUAGCGGUGGAAUGCGCAGAUAUCAGGAGGAACACCGAUGGCGAAGGCAGGUCACUGGGCCGCAACUGACGCUGAGGAGCGAAAGCAUGGGGAGCGAACAGG